GACAGAGGGGGCAAGCGUUGCUCGGAAUUACUGGGCGUAAAGGGCGCGUAGGCGGGAUGGCAAGUCGGUCGUGAAAUCCCUCGGCUCAACUGAGGAGCGUCGAUCGAAACUGCCGUUCUUGAGGGUUGCAGAGGAGACUGGAAUUCCCGGUGUAGCGGUGAAAUGUGUAGAGAUCGGGAGGAACACCCGUGGCGAAAGCGGCGCGCUGGACCACUACUGACGCUGAGGAACGAAAGCUAGGGGAGCAAACAGG
rnacentral:rRNA from 1 species